GGCUGAAAUUACGCCUUCAUGAAGCUGGAAUUGCUGUAAUGGCAGGUCAGCAUACUGCCGUGAAUACGUUCCCGGGCCUUGUACACACCGCCCGUCACACCAUGAGAGUUGGAAAUACCCGAAGCCUGUGAGCUAACUUAAAGAGGCAGCAGUCGAAGGUAGAGCCAAUGAUUGGGGUGAAGUCGUAACAAGGUAGC
rnacentral:rRNA from 1 species